rnacentral:rRNA from 1 species
CCUACGGGGGGCAGCAGUGGGGAAUAUUGCGCAAUGGGCGAAAGCCUGACGCAGCGACGCCGCGUGAGGGAUGAAGGUCUUCGGAUCGUAAACCUCCGUCAGCAGGGAAGAACGGUCACUGUGCUAAUCAGCAGUGAAUUGACGGUACCUGCAAAGGAAGCACCGGCUAAAUCCGUGCCAGCAGCCGCGGUAAUACGGAGGGUGCGAGCGUUAAUCGGAAUUACUGGGCGUAAAGCGUUCGUAGGCUGUAUGUCAAGUCAAGGGUGAAAUCCCCGCGCUCAACGUGGGAACUGCCGUUGAAACUGGCAGACUUGAGUGUGUGAGAGGAUAGCGGAAUUCCAGGUGUAGGAGUGAAAUCCGUAGAUAUCUGGAGGAACAUCAGUGGCGAAGGCGACUAUCUGGCACAUAACUGACGCUGAGGAGCGAAAGCGUGGGUAGCAAACAGGAUUAGAUACCCUUGUAGUC